rnacentral:rRNA from 1 species
AAGGGGNNGGUGCAUCGAUGAAGAACGCAGCGAAAUGCGAUAAGUAAUGUGAAUUGCAGAAUUCAGUGAAUCAUCGAAUCUUUGAACGCACCUUGCGCUCCUUGGUAUUCCGAGGAGCAUGCCUGUUUGAGUGUCAUGAAAUCUUCAACCUACAAGCUUUUGUGGUUUGUAGGCUUGGACUUGGAGGCUUGUCGGCCGUUAUCGGUCGGCUCCUCUUAAAUGCAUUAGCUUGGUUCCUUGCGGAUCGGCUCUCGGUGUGAUAAUGUCUACGCCGCGACCGUGAAGCGUUUGGCGAGCUUCUAACCGUCUUAUAAGACAGCUUUAUGACCUCUGACCUAAAU